AUUCAACUGACCAGUCCCAAGUAGGACGAAACUCACGUCUUGAAU
rfam:Schistosoma rodhaini strain Burundi genome assembly, scaffold: SROB_scaffold0002146